rfam:Bacillus sp. SJS contig_31, whole genome shotgun sequence.
AAGAUGUUCCGCUGCAAUGCAUAAGAUUGGAAUGAGCAUCUG